ACACGCUGGCGGCAGGCUUAACACAUGCAAGUCGAACGCCCCGCAAGGGGAGUGGCAGACGGGUGAGUAACGCGUGGGAAUCUACCCAGUUCUACGGAACAACUGAGGGAAACUUCAGCUAAUACCGUAUACGCCCUACGGGGGAAAGAUUUAUCGGAAUUGGAUGAGCCCGCGUUGGAUUAGCUAGUUGGUGAGGUAACGGCUCACCAAGGCGACGAUCCAUAGCUGGUCUGAGAGGAUGAUCAGCCACACUGGGACUGAGACACGGCCCAGACUCCUACGGGAGGCAGCAGUGGGGAAUAUUGGACAAUGGGCGCAAGCCUGAUCCAGCCAUGCCGCGUGAGUGAUGAAGGCCUUAGGGUUGUAAAGCUCUUUCAGUGGGGACGAUAAUGACGGUACCCACAGAAGAAGCCCCGGCUAACUUCGUG
rnacentral:rRNA from 1 species